GUCUUUUUGAAAAUAAUUUAAAGUCUAAUCUGCCCACUGAAUUAUUUUAAAGGGCUGCAGUAUAUUGACUGUACAAAGGUAGCAUAAUCAUUAGUCUUUUAAUUGAAGACUUGUAUGAAUGAUUUGAUGAAAUAUAAACUGUCUCUUUAUUAAAAAUAGAAUUUAAUUUUUUAGUUAAAAAGCUAAAAUUUAUUUAAAAGACGAGAAGACCCUAUAGAGUUUUAUAUUUAAAAUUAUAUUAAUUUUGUAUAAAAUUUUUAUUUAAUAUUUUUUUUAAGUAUUUUAUUGGGGUGAUAGAAAAAUUUAAUAAACUUUUUUUAAAAAUUUUACAUUAAUAUAUGAAAUUUUGAUCCAUAAUUUAUGAUUAAAAGAUUAAAUUACCUUAGGGAUAACAGCGUAAUUUUUUUUUUUAGUUCUUAUAAGAAAAAAAGUUUGCGACCUCGAUGUUGGAUUAAGAUAAAAUUUAGAUGCAAAAGUUUAAAAUUUUGAUCUGUUCGAUCAUUAAAAUCUUACA
rnacentral:rRNA from 1 species